rnacentral:rRNA from 1 species
GAGUUUGAUCAUGGCUCAGAUUGAACGCUGGCGGCAUGCCUUACACAUGCAAGUCGAACGGCAGCACGGGAGCUUGCUCCUGGUGGCGAGUGGCAAACGGGUGAGUAAUGCAUCGGAACGUAUCCUGGAGUGGGGGAUAACGUAGCGAAAGUUACGCUAAUACCGCAUAUUCUGUGAGCAGGAAAGCGGGGGACCUUCGGGCCUCGCGCUCUUGGAGCGGCCGAUGUCGGAUUAGCUAGUUGGUGAGGUAAAGGCUCACCAAGGCGACGAUCCGUAGCAGGUCUGAGAGGAUGAUCUGCCACACUGGAACUGAGACACGGUCCAGACUCCUACGGGAGGCAGCAGUGGGGAAUUUUGGACAAUGGGGGCAACCCUGAUCCAGCCAUGCCUCGUGAGUGAAGAAGGCCUCGGUUGUAAG